AUUGAACGCUGGCGGCAUGCCUUACACAUGCAAGUCGAACGGUAACAGGUUAAGCUGACGAGUGGCGAACGGGUGAGUAAUGUAUCGGAACGUGCCCAGUCGUGGGGGAUAACUGCUCGAAAGAGCAGCUAAUACCGCAUACGACCUGAGGGUGAAAGCGGGGGAUCGCAAGAUCUCGCGCGAUUGGAGCGGCCGAUAUCAGAUUAGGUAGUUGGUGAGGUAAAGGCUCACCAAGCCGACGAUCUGUAGCUGGUCUGAGAGGACGACCAGCCACACUGGGACUGAGACACGGCCCAGACUCCUACGGGAGGCAGCAGUGGGGAAUUUUGGACAAUGGGCGCAAGCCUGAUCCAGCCAUGCCGCGUGCGGGAAGAAGGCCUUCGGGUUGUAAACCGCUUUUGUCAGGGAAGAAAAGGUUCUGGCUAAUACCUGGGACUCAUGACGGUACCUGAAGAAUAAGCACCGGCUAACUACGUG
rnacentral:rRNA from 1 species